GUUUGUAUGUGUAUGGAUGUUGUUCAGCACCAGAGACAGGUUUCUAUGUGUGUGGAUGGUGUUCAGCAACAAGGAUAGGCACAUUUGUAU
rnacentral:pre_miRNA from 1 species